GAAUCCCAUUAGGCAAGUACAACUAGAUAAUUUUUAAGUUAAAAUUAUGCUUAGACUCCUUAGGAUAUUGAUAUCAAAUUGUAAUUAGUGAUACGGACUUGAACAGCUUUACCAAGCUCAGGUUUACAGCGCCUUACGCAUGAAAAUAUAUUUUACAACUCAUAUCAAUACAAAAAUUAGUAACCCUUAAAUCGUUUUAUAGAUAUAGACCGCACACACAUAGACACACACCCGUAAAAAACAAGCUAGCCGAAGAGACCUGUUAAAAGUGAAACACUGUGAGCCAAAAUAGCUGAGGAGGGGGGUCCACAAUACAAAUGUUAGGGGGGUUUAUAGGAAGUUUACAAGUUUUAAUCUGCCUCUCUUUUCUACAGACUUAUUUGUUUGUCUCCCAAAUUCACUUAUAUUGAAUAACAACUCUUUGAAAUUGAACUUCUUCCUCAGCUUUUACUGUUUUUAAAGGAAAAAAAAAGCUUUUACAAACUACACCAGCUGUUACAAAACUUUUUUUAUGUUUAACUUUCAAGAAUGGUAGUAUUUUCUAUUCACUUAUUAUUGCUGAAGACAACAUUAAAGUUAGAAUAUUCUUAUUCACUUGAAGUGCGUAGUAGUCUUUUCCUGAGCACAGCAGCAGUUUAGUGCACUAAGUUUACUGUCCCCUGUAAAAGCCAUAACGUACUGGUUUCUUUUGCAGAACAAAGUGACCACCAAAAGCGGGACUUUGUGGGCCAGUUGGAUAAAACAUAAGCUCAUCUCGCCCCCAAAACCCCGACUCUGGAACCACAACCUUCCGAGAUUCAAUUUGGAGACUGGGGUAGUGUUGUCAUUAGAUGUCCUACUAGAAGUACAAAAAGGAAGUGGAAGGCAAGUGCUUUGCUUCCCUCUGUGCUGAUGUUUGCUCCAAACCACCCAAUUGGCUAAACAGGAAUUCUGCAGACUUUUGUCUUAGGGGGAGUCAAGAAUGAUGCAGUACAGUGGCUGAGUGAUCCUGCAGUCCUUGUUCUGCAAAGACGACUGGAGACUCAUCUUCAGGUAAUAUUUUAUGUGAAGGGAAACACUAUUUUCAGUUGCACUAUAAAUUUAUGGAUAAACACUUAAAGGGGAAAAAAUGCUAGAAUUAAGAUAUUACAUCUCAGAUG
rnacentral:lncRNA from 1 species